ACGGAGGAUGCGAGCGUUAUCCGGAUUUAUUGGGUUUAAAGGGUGCGUAGGCGGCGACAUAAGUCAGUGGUGAAAUAUUCCGGCUCAACCGGGAGACUGCCAUUGAAACUGUGUUGCUAGAAUAUGGUUGCUGUGGGUGGAAUGUGUGGUGUAGCGGUGAAAUGCUUAGAUAUCACACAGAAUAUCGAUUGCGAAGGCAGCUCACAAAGCCAUUAUUGACGCUGAGGCACGAAAGUGUGGGGAUCAAACAG
rnacentral:rRNA from 1 species